rnacentral:rRNA from 1 species
UACGUAGGGGGCAAGCGUUGUCCGGAAUCAUUGGGCGUAAAGAGCGUGUAGGCGGCCUGGUAAGUCCGCUGUGAAAGCCCAGAGCUCAACUCUGGAAUUGCCUUUGAGACUGAGUGGCUUGAGUACGAGAGAGGUGAGUGGAAUUCCCAGUGUAGAGGUGAAAUUCGUAGAUAUUGGGAAGAACACCGGUGGCGAAGGCGGCUCACUGGCUCGUAACUGACGCUCAUGCACGACAGCGUGGGGAUCAAACAGG